rnacentral:lncRNA from 1 species
GUCUGCUAAAAGUUAACGAACAAUUAGUCAGCAGGCAGGCAUGGCAAGCUAGAGACUAAACAUGGAUUGGUCUUCGUCAGUAUAUGAGGAAAAAAAGGAAGGCAAAAAAAAUGCUUUUAUAUUUUAACCUUGCUUACUAGAAAGGUGAACUCGGGAGGUUCAGUAUUGCUAAGUGCUGUUUAGGGGAGAUUUCUGUUUUUAAGAAAAAAAAAUGUAUACGUUGUAUGCACUUCCCUGCUGUAACAAAAAAGCCUCCUGACUUUUUCUGUCUCUUGGCUUUCAGGUGUCUUCCUUCGGUGGAACAGGCCUUCCAAAUUCCUCGAUGAAGCCCAGGAAGAAGUGCUCAACAUCAUAAACUACAACAGGGAACUUCAGGCAAAGGUGAACGCGUUGAGGAGGCAGCUGGCAGAGCUGGAAACGACUGACAGGAUGCAGGAGAACCUGUGAGCUGCCAGGGCUUUGCCUCAGGUCUUUCUUUUCCAGUUUCCUUUACGUUAAAAGACUAAACGUGGAAAGUGCAUGUAUUGCAAAGUCCUCUGGUACAGCUGACCCUGCCUUCCCGCUGCUGAAACCUUCACACUAUGUACCUCCCUGCUUUUGGGGAGGGAUUUUUUUUUGUUUACAGAAGAUGCACACAAGCGGGCAUAGUGUCCUCUCUCUUGGCAGCUUUUCUGUCUCUAAAUUGUGUUCAGUGUCAGUAUAAGCUGGAACUCAUUACCUCCACCCAACGGUAUGGAUGACCAGGAUGGGCCGAGAGAUGGGAUGUUUCAGACUUACUUUGGACUUCAUUUCCCUGAACUCUCCAAACACUCUUUGCGGGGUUAAAUGAUGAAUUUCUGUAUAGAUAGGGAAAGGCAUUCUGUCCGAAGGCACCUUUUCUCCUCAGGAGUAGGACUGAUUCCACCCCAGUGCAUGCACCUUGGCUUCGUGGCAGUGUGGAUCUUAACGAGAAUCCCCUGGUGUCAUCCUGAGCAGCGGCAGCAGGUUGUCCCACCCCCUGGUUCCUCUGCCACGCUUCGCCUUGUGCUCACAGCAAGCAGCAGGAGCUGGAGGGCUGAGUUAACUCACAACCAGUAGCCUCUGUGCCACGUUGCAGUCCUGCAGGGUGUUGCGUGAGGUGGAAUUGAGACAAGAUCUCUCCUGGGAGUCCUUCAGACCUGUAGCAGGCCACUCGCACAGUCUGUUUGCCUUUUCAUUCCCAGCGUUUUCCAGUUUCAAGCCUGGUGGCUACUGGUAACACGCAGUGGAGCAGCGCCCCUUCUUUCCUUACCCGUACGCCCACCGUAUUUAUUCACUUUGAUCAGCUUGCUUCUUGUUAGCCCGCUGCACUCGCCCCGUGGAGUCAGUGACACGCUGCUUGCAGUCACCCGUGUCUUUCUGAGCAUCGUGGCAGUGCCCAGCUCUGCCUCAGCAGCUGAGCUGCCCGUGUCUACUCUUUUUGCACCCCCGUAAUAAGCUGGACAUCGAGGGGCCCCUUCUCCAAGCUCUGGGGUCAGUCAAGGCGGGGACACUGCCAUUUACCCAAAAAAAAAAAGGGAAAAAGAACUAACUUGCACAGCUUUCACGAACAUAAAGGGAAUAUGUACCUUCAAUAUAUUGAUUGUAUCGAUCUAACUCCUGAAUGUGGCGACCUGGUUAAGUGCACGGCAUCCACGUUGCAUACGAUGUAACUUAAAUUGCACUGUACGACGUUACCGGCCUCUGUCUGCUUCUCUCAAGCCUUGGAAAGGUUCCUACAGGUUCCUCUAUGGGGGAAGGUGUCUGUAGCAGCACUCCUUUUGUAACUGUGGCACUGAAUAGCAUGGCGUGAUGUCUGCUAUAUAGAUUUCGUACGAGUUAACAGCUAAGUGACGAGUGCACUCCUGUCCAAACAUCUGGAAUUGUUCAUUGGCCUUGGCUGCUGCGUCAGUUUUCGUUUUAAAACAAAAUGAGUAACAGGGCUGG